UUUUUCGUUUGGGUUAUCGUCUACAGUGUUUCUUCUUCCUUCAUCUUAUAUUCGGAUUUUCCCCUCUGCAAGUUAGCCAACGCCACCGUUCAUUCCUCCAUCUUCGGUUGGUAAUGUUUCUUUUUCCAUCUCUUUAAUUUUUGGUUUUCCUUUGUGCUGUAAAACCGUGCAAAUCUCUUCCUCUUUAGCAGAUAUUUUUCACCUUUUUCUCUCCAUUUGCAGGUCUGUCCGUGAGCCUUCAUUGUUAUACUCUCUCUUAAAUUUUUCCUUACUAUUUUCAUGGCUCAUGCUUCUGAUUUAUUCCCAUUGCAUUCCCUUUUUGUUUGGUCCUUCACUACUCCAUUUUGCCUUUUUGCCGUGUCCUAUUUUUGCCAUAAAAGCCGUGAGCUCCACUCAUAUCUUGGUGAUUUUGGUGCUUGCCGUGAGUGCAUCUUCCAGCCAUCGCUUGUUGCCUCUUGGUUUCCUUUGGGUGACGAUUGACUAUUGUUCAGCACUGUUGUGGAGAAUUUUUGAAUAAGCUAAGAAGCCCGGUGGUGAGUUUGAUAAUUCUG